rnacentral:rRNA from 1 species
CGGGAAUUCGAUUAACGCGAAGAACCUUACCUGCCCUUGACAUCCUCGGAAUCGAUCAGAGAUGAACGAGUGCCUUCGGGAACCGAGAGACAGGUGCUACAUGGCUGUCGUCAGCUCGUGUCGUGAGAUGUUGGGUUAAGUCCCGUAACGAGCGCAACCCUUGUCCCUAGUUGCCAGCGGUUCGGCCGGGAACUCUAGGGAGGCUGCCGGUGACAAACCGGAGGAAGGUGGGGAUGGCGUCAAGUCAUCAUGGCCCUUAUGGGCAGGGCUACACACGUGCUACAAUGGACGGUACAGAGGGUCGCCAACCCGCGAGGGGGAGCCAAUCCCACAAAACCGUUCGUAGUCCGGAUCGGAGUCUGCAACUCGACUCCGUGAAGUCGGAAUCGCUAG